UACAGAGACUGCAAGCGUUAUUCGGAAUCACUGGGCGUAAAGGGCGCGUAGGCGGCCUGAUAAGUAGGGGGUGAAAUCCUGUGGCUCAACUGCAGGGCUGCCUCCUAGACUGUCGGGCUUGAGCACGGUAGAGGCAGAUGGAAUUCCCGGUGUAGCGGUGGAAUGCGUAGAGAUCGGGAAGAACAUCGGUGGCGAAGGCGGUCUGCUGGGCCGUUGCUGACGCUGAGGCGCGACAGCGUGGGGAGCAAACAGG
rnacentral:rRNA from 1 species